rnacentral:rRNA from 1 species
GGUUAAGCGACUAAGCGUACACGGUGGAUGCCCUGGCAGUCAGAGGCGAUGAAGGACGUGCUAAUCUGCGAUAAGCGUCGGUAAGGUGAUAUGAACCGUUAUAACCGGCGAUUUCCGAAUGGGGAAACCCAGUGUGUUUCGACACACUAUCAUUAACUGAAUCCAUAGGUUAAUGAGGCGAACCGGGGGAACUGAAACAUCUAAGUACCCCGAGGAAAAGAAAUCAACCGAGAUUCCCCCAGUAGCGGCGAGCGAACGGGGAGCAGCCCAGAGCCUGAAUCAGUGUGUGUGUUAGUGGAAGCGUCUGGAAAGGCGCGCGAUACAGGGUGACAGCCCCGUACACAAAAAUGCACAUACUGUGAGCUCGAUGAGUAGGGCGGGACACGUGGUAUCCUGUCUGAAUAUGGGGGGACCAUCCUCCAAGGCUAAAUACUCCUGACUGACCGAUAGUGAACCAGUACCGUGAGGGAAAGGCGAAAAGAACCCCGGCGAGGGGAGUGAAAAAGAACCUGAAACCGUGUACGUACAAGCAGUGGGAGCACGCUUAGGCGUGUGACUGCGUACCUUUUGUAUAAUGGGUCAGCGACUUAUAUUCUGUAGCAAGGUUAACCGAAUAGGGGAGCCGAAGGGAAACCGAGUCUUAACUGGGCGUUAAGUUGCAGGGUAUAGACCCGAAACCCGGUGAUCUAGCCAUGGGCAGGUUGAAGGUUGGGUAACACUAACUGGAGGACCGAACCGACUAAUGUUGAAAAAUUAGCGGAUGACUUGUGGCUGGGGGUGAAAGGCCAAUCAAACCGGGAGAUAGCUGGUUCUCCCCGAAAGCUAUUUAGGUAGCGCCUCGUGAAUUCAUCUCCGGGGGUAGAGCACUGUUUCGGCAAGGGGGUCAUCCCGACUUACCAACCCGAUGCAAACUGCGAAUACCGGAGAAUGUUAUCACGGGAGACACACGGCGGGUGCUAACGUCCGUCGUGAAGAGGGAAACAACCCAGACCGCCAGCUAAGGUCCCAAAGUCAUGGUUAAGUGGGAAACGAUGUGGGAAGGCCCAGACAGCCAGGAUGUUGGCUUAGAAGCAGCCAUCAUUUAAAGAAAGCGUAAUAGCUCACUGGUCGAGUCGGCCUGCGCGGAAGAUGUAACGGGGCUAAACCAUGCACCGAAGCUGCGGCAGCGACGCUGAUGCGUUGUUGGGUAGGGGAGCGUUCUGUAAGCCUGUGAAGGUGUGCUGUGAGGCAUGCUGGAGGUAUCAGAAGUGCGAAUGCUGACAUAAGUAACGAUAAAGCGGGUGAAAAGCCCGCUCGCCGGAAGACCAAGGGUUCCUGUCCAACGUUAAUCG